rnacentral:rRNA from 1 species
AGUCGACGGGGAUACGUUUUCGGAUGUAUUCUAGUGGCGCANNNGGUGAGUAACGCGUGAGCGACCUGACCCAAAGAGGGGGAUAACAUCGAGAAAUCGAUGCUAAUACCGCAUAAGACCACGGUAUCGCAUGGUACAGAGGUCAAAGGAGCAAUCCGCUUUGGGAGGGGCUCGCGUCCCAUUAGAUAGUAGGCGGGGUAACGGCCCACCUAGUCAACGAUGGGUAGCCGAGCUGAGAGGCUGAUCGGCCACACUGGAACUGAGACACGGUCCAGACUCCUACGGGAGGCAGCAGUGGGGAAUAUUGGGCAAUGGGCGAAAGCCUGACCCAGCAACGCCGCGUGAGGGAAGAAGGUUUUCGGAUUGUAAACCUCUGUCGCAGAUGACGAAGGAAGUGACGGUAAUCUGUGAGGAAGCCCCGGCUAACUACGUGCCAGCAGCCGCGGUAAUACGUAGGGGGCGAGCGUUGUCCGGAAUUACUGGGCGUAAAGGGUGCGUAGGCGGUUGAUUAAGUUGGAUGUGAAAUACCCGGGCUUAACCUGGGGGGUGCAUUCAAAACUGGUCAACUAGAGUUCAGGAGAGGGAAGCGGAAUUCCUAGUGUAGCGGUGAAAUGCGUAGAUAUUAGGAGGAACACCAGUGGCGAAGGCGGCUUUCUGGACUGACACUGACGCUGAGGCACGGAAGCGUGGGGAGCAAACAGGAUUAGAUACCCUGGUAGUCCACGCGGUAAACGAUGUAUACUAGGUGUAGGGGGUAUCAACUCCCUCUGUGCCGCAGCAAACGCAAUAAGUAUUC